GGGGACGCUGGGCCUCGACGAUCGUUGAAAAAUUGAAAUCGAAUCGCAGUGCGAUGUCUGCGUUAUCACUAUCGCAUCAUUAAAUAAGUGCAAACUCAUUUAACAGACAGCCAGCUUUAGCUUUUGCUUAACUGGCUUGCCCGACAAACUUUUGUUCUAGGGCCAUCAGCGCGUUCAUGUCUAAUAGACGCAUAACUGGUGUUAUACAUUGGGCUUUACCGUAAAGUUUCAGUAUUUACGGCGAAAUUACACUGAAACGGUGUGCGCAUUUUUGCUAGAUUUCUUACGCGUAUACCUUAUCAAAUCUGGCUACAUUCGUAUGUAUUUCAAUUUGGACAUGUUUCGGAUGCGGGUUCAACUCCCGCCGUCUCCACAC
rnacentral:tmRNA from 1 species